UGGACGUAUGAGUAGUCAAAAUCUAUCUACUUGGAAAGAUCUUGUUCGUGGUGUAAUUUUUUUUUUUUUUUUUGAAGAGAGGGAAAGAAGAGACUGCAGUUUCUGUUUCAAUCAGACGGGUCACCCGGUUUUGUUUUCCUGUCGUACCUUCACGAAUUUGAUCAUCGCAGAAGAUCGAACCAUUGGAUCACCCUGAAAUUUGGACAGCACGUUUAGGACAUAUGAGCCUUCAUUAUGACCGGAGAGAUUUGGAAUCAGAGCUAUAAAUUAUCGGGAAUCGAGAUCGGAGCAGAGCAGUACAUAAUGAAAAUGCAAGCAAUUGGAGGUCUUCAAAGGAUAUGUUGAUGACAAUCUUAUUUGGUUUUGGGCUCGGGUUGAGAUGUGAGCAUUAAAAUGUUAGAUGUUUUAGGCCUAGACUCUUUUAUUAAUUUAAGAGUUAGUUUUCUCUUUUGGUUAUCAAUUUAAUUUAUUUAUACUAUUUAUUUAUGUU